rnacentral:rRNA from 1 species
UGCCACAGCCAUAUCACUCUAAGACCGGUUACUCACUGAAGCUAAGCAGGGCUGUGUCUAGUCAAUACCUGUAUGGGAGACCACAUAGGAAAACUAAGUUGCUGUUGGAA